AUUGAACGCUGGCGGCAGGCUUAACACAUGCAAGUCGAGCGAGCGGCGGACGGGAGAGCAAUGUCUGGGAAACUGCCUGAUGGAGGGGGAUAACUACUGGAAACGGUAGCUAAUACCGCAUACCAUCAGAUGUGCCCAGAUGGGAUUAGCUAGUAGGUGGGGUAAUGGCUCACCCAGGCGACGAUCCCUAGCUGGGCUGAGAGGCUGACCAGCCAAACUGGAAGUGAGACACGGCCCAGACUCCUACGGUAGGCAGCAGUGGGGAAUAUUGCACAAGGGGCGCAGGCCGGAUGCAGCCAUGCCGCGUGUGUGAAGAAGGCCUUCGGGUUGUAAAGCUCUUUCAGCGAGGAGGCGUUACUCGCAGAAGAAGCACCGGCUAACUCCGUGCCAGCAGCCGCGGUAAUAC
rnacentral:rRNA from 1 species